UGCCAGACUCCUACGGGAGGCAGCAGUGGGGGAUAUUGCACAAUGGGGGAAACCCUGAUGCAGCGACGCCGCGUGGGUGAAGAAGUAUUUCGGUAUGUAAAGCCCUACCAGCAGGGAAGAAAGAAGACGGUACCUGACUAAGAAGCCCCGUCUAACUACGUGCCAGCAGCCGCGGUAAUACGUAGGGGGCGAGCGUUAUCCGGAUUUACUGGGUGUAAAGGGAGCGUAGACGGUCCUGCAAGCCAGAUGUGAAAGCCCGGGGCUCAACCCCGGGACUGCAUUUGGAACUGUAAGGCUAGAGUGUCGGAGAGGCAGGCGGAAUUCCUAGUGUAGCGGUGAAAUGCGUAGAUAUUAGGAGGAACACCAGUGGCGAAGGCGGCCUGCUGGACGAUGGCUGACGUUGAGGCUCGAAAGCGUGGGGAGCAAACAGGAUUAGAUACCCGCGUA
rnacentral:rRNA from 1 species